rnacentral:tRNA from 1 species
CCGCUGGUGGUGGAAUGGUAUACACGGCGGUCUUAGAAACCGCUGCCGUAAGGCAUGGGAGUUCGACUCUCCCCCAGCGGA